rnacentral:rRNA from 1 species
CCUACGGGAGGCAGCAGUGGGGAAUAUUGGGCAAUGGGCGCAAGCCUGACCCAGCAACGCCGCGUGAAGGAAGAAGGCUUUCGGGUUGUAAACUUCUUUUCUGAGGGACGAAGAAAGUGACGUUACCUCAGGAAUAAGCCAGGGCUAACUCCGUGCCAGCAGCCGCGGUAAUACGUAGGUGGCAAGCGUUAUCCGGAUUUAUUGGGUGUAAAGGGCGUGUAGACGGGCAGACAAGUCCGAUGUGAAAUCCGAGGGCUCAACCCCGAGACUGCAUUUGAAACUGUUUUUCUUGAGUGCUGGAGAGGCAAGCGGAAUUCCGUGUGUAGCGGUGAAAUGCGUAGAUAUACGGAGGAACACCAGUGGCGAAGGCGGAUUGCUGGACGGUAACUGACGGUGAGGCGCGAAAGCGUGGGGAGCAAACAGGAUUAGAUACCCGAGUAGUC